GCCGAAUUUGCUGAGACUGCUUGCAUUUUUACCACUGGACAAAGACUGAUUACUUCUAUACAAUAAUAAUAAGGACAAGUGCUUGUGGCAGCUGUCUUCUCUGAACAGCAGUCUCGUGAACACCGGCCUCAGUACACUGAAGAUCUAAGAAAACACUUCACACCCUACAACCCCUACAAAUAACCCAGAUUUGACAGCAGUGCACACCCAUCUGAGGCCGACCUGUUUUACUUCAUGAUCACCCCAGAUACUUCUACAACUAACCCGCUUUGGUAGUACUGCAAAGAACAGUCUCCAGGGUCUACCUCAGCCAUUUGCUUCCGGACUGCCAUGUGCUAUGUUUGGAUCACUGGUACAGUACAUUUGGAUUACCCUAAUACUGUGAAGAACACUUACAGUGUGAUGCUUGACUUGAGACAGG